CCAGCUGAUGCCUUGUCUGCAACUUGGUGAGAGACCCUGAGCCAGAGGACCCAGAAGGCUACAUGAAGACAUGGAGACAUUCAGGGAAGAUGGCCACAUGAAGAAAGAGGCAGAGACUGGAGUGAUGCCUGUGUAAGCUGAGGAACACCAAGGAUUGCCGGCAACCACUAGAAACUGGGAGAGGCAAAGAAAGGAUCCCCCCCUUAGAGCCUUUGGAAGGAGCAGGAGUCUGCCAACCCUUUCAUUUCAGACUUCUGGCCUCCAGGUUUGUGAGAGAAUAAAUUUCUAUUGUUUUAAGCCA